CCGCUGUGCGACCGCGCCACUUCCGGCGCCGCUCUGCGCUAUCGCUGGUUGCGGCUCGCUGGUUCCGGUGCACCCGGGCGGCGGCGGUGAAAGUCACUUUGAGGGAGCGGCGCGACUCGCGAUGGCGGACGACAUCGAGGCGAAGCUGCGGCGCUACCGCACGGCGCCGUUCGACAGCCGCUUCCCCAACCAGAACCAGACCAAGAACUGCUGGCAGAACUACCUGGGUGACAACGUGGGACGAGUACCGCGAGGAGGGGACCUUCCCCGGCAAGAUCUGAGCGUCCCCGGCCCGGAAGUGUCACGGCGGGUGCCAGAGCCGUCACCGGGGAGGUGACACGGGCGUCACCGGCCCCGAGGGGGAGGUGACACGGGCGUCACCGGGCGGGGGGAGGGGACACAGCCGUCACCGGGGUGCUGGUGACGCCGCUAAUAAAGGGUUAAACUGGCCCCGGAUACGUCUCCGU
rnacentral:lncRNA from 1 species